UUGUUUUUUAGCUCUUUGUAGUAACUCUUGCUACUGCUUACUCUUUGGGUUCACACUGCAUUUAUGAGCUGUAACACUCAUGGUGAAGGUCUACAGCUUCAGUCCUGAAGCCAGCGAGACCAAGAACCCACUGGGAGGAACGAACAACUCCAGACGCGCCACCUUAAGAGCUGUAACACUCACCGCGAAGAUCUGCAGCUUCAUUCCUGAGCCAGCGAGACCAUGAAUUCACCAGAAGGAAGAAACUCUGAACACACUGGAACGUCAGAAGGAACAAACUCAGGACACGCCACCUUUAAGAACUGUAACACUCACCGUGAGGGUCUGCGGCUUCAUUCUUGAAGGCAGUGAGACCAAGAACCCACCAAUUUCGGACGCACUGGGACCACCCUCGCUGACGCUGACUGGAGCACUUGAGGCAAUCAUUCCCAGGUAGUGGAACCUCGAAUGGCAGACACUGUGGUUCUCCUGCGGGGCUGAGAACUGUGAGGAGCAGAGCAGACUUC
rnacentral:lncRNA from 1 species